rnacentral:rRNA from 1 species
UACGGAGGGUGCAAGCGUUGCUCGGAAUUAUUGGGCGUAAAGGGUAGGUAGGUGGUCUCAUUUGUCUGGGGUGAAAGCCUUGAGCUUAACUCAAGAAGUGCCCCAGAAACGGUGAGACUAGAGUCUUGGAGAGGGUCGUGGAAUUCCCGGUGUAGCGGUGAAAUGCGUAGAGAUCGGGAGGAACACCAGAGGCGAAAGCGGCGACCUGGACAAGUACUGACACUCAACUACGAAAGCGUGGGGAGCGAACAGG